GCUUCUACGGCUCUCUUUUUUUCGCGCGCAUCUUUAAGAUGCCCGCCAUGUUGGAACAACAUACAUACAAGUAAAAUGUCUUGCUAAUUGCCUUAUAUGUUUGAAUAUGUUAGUUUACAUAACAAAUAAUUUUUAAAUUUUUCAAAUUAAAAUAAAUGUAUGGUAAUUAUGGGCAAUGUUAAUUUGACGGAAAGAAUUCAUAUAUUUUCAACGUAAUUAUUUAAGUAAAAAAUUUUAAUAUUAAUUUAAAACUAUAAUUUUUACAAAAUUUUUACAAUAACUAUACAUGUUUUUUAUAUAAAAAUAAUUUUUAUUUUUAUAUAAGAUAAAUAAUAAAUCAAUAUAGAUAAUUCAAUACGUGGCUCGUGUCUUCGGUCUCCUUUCUUUUUUCUCCUCUGGUAAAUCAUUUUCUAUAUGAACUACUCGUUGUGGUACGUUUAUGGAAUUAUCAGUAUUCCCUUCAAUAUCUACAAAAAACAAAGUUUAUAAUAAUAUUAUAUAUAUUAUAUCAUAGGAACAUUUUUCUAAACGUGUUUUUUAACUAAUAACUUUAGUAAUAUAUUAAGAUAGUAAUAUAUUAAACAAUUAAAUCGUCAUCGAUUAACAAGUAUAGAUUAACAAGUAAACUUACUCGUUAGCACACAAGGUUUACCAAGAGCCAAGUAACGUUUCCUGGCAACUUGAGCAGCCGCAAAAUCUGGUUUAUGAUUGUGUUCCAUACGCACCCUUGGCUUCGUGCAACUCGUAGUUGUGAUAAGACUGCCUCUACAAUGCAUAGUUCUGCCGACGCAUCUCCAUCGGAUAUUAUAUGGUUGCUUUUUAUGCAGUGUGUACAUAUAGCCAUGAUGAAUUAACUUCGGUCCUCCCUUGUUUGAUAAUACAACCUAUGAUACAAAUUUAUUAAAUUGAUUGAUAUCUAUUUUUAAAUGAAUAAUUGUUAAUUAAAUUUGACAAAAUUAUUGAAAGAUUAAGUUAUCAUUGGUAUUUGAUAUUUGAAAUGCUAAUCAAUAUUUCAAAAUAUUGAUUUCAAUUUCUUGCAAAUUAAAUUAAAGUUAUAAAAUAAAAUUAUGAAUUGAUUAUGUAAAUGUUUAAUUAUAUUUUGAAAUAAGAUCACAUUUAAAUAUUUGAUUAUCAGGAAUAAAAUAAAUGAUUUUUAUUUAAAAUAAUAUUCAUCUUGUAAUUAUCAAAAGUAUUUUAUUUGGUUUUUUAAUAUUUAAUUUGUGAAUUCAUAUAAUAGCUAAAUAUUUAUAUAAAUAAUUUCAUUAUUUUUAAGCUUUUUUGUCUCGUACUUCGGCUACAUUUGGGUCAUCGUCACUAGUAUUCUCAGAAAGAACAGACGACGUGGAAGCUUCUUCCUUGAUUUGUGUUUUGUUUUCGUUAGACACACUUUUAACACGUUGCGGCAUCUUGUUCGUUAUUUUUCUAUUUUUCCUGUAAACUCUCAAUCCAAUGCUUGUGUCAUUGACC